UUUCCUUUUGUGCAUUGCAACAUCCUUUCCGACAAUUCAAGAAACAGAUUUUGGAAUUCUUAUAAAUAACAAAAAGAAAUUCGUUUUGGUUUACUUAUAAAUUUCGCACACCCAGCAUAUUGUAGUUCAUUUCAGGUAUUUUUAUAGAGUACUACUAAGAGCUGAAGUUUAAGAGCCGGCAUCAUGAAAGUUGCAGUUUUGCUUUCAGUUGUGAUUUUCUGCGUAGUUUGCAGUCUUACAGAAAGUAGUCAACAGUGUGACACGGCCAAGGGUGAGGUUUACCUGGACUGCCUUGCUAACUGUCCAGCUACUUGUGAGGAUCGACACCCCAGCUGUCCCAAAAAGUGUCGACGUGGUUGCGGCUGUCCUCCAGGAAAAGUUCGAAGAGAACCUGGUGGAAUGUGCAUUGACCCCUCUGAGUGCUGAAACUAAUGUAUCUGAUGUUCGUUUCAUCUAAGUACAGCAUCCGAUGUUCGUUUAAUCUAAUUAAAGCACCCUAUGUUUGUUUUUAAUGUAAGUGUGUUCAAAGAAUAAAUAAAUGAAUAAAUAAAGGAA